rnacentral:rRNA from 1 species
UGCCCGCCCGAGGAUGGGCCGGCGGCCGAUUAGGUAGUUGGUGGGGUAACGGCCCACCAAGCCGAAGAUCGGUACGGGCCAUGAGAGUGGGAGCCCGGAGAUGGACACUGAGACACGGGUCCAGGCCCUACGGGGCGCAGCAGGCGCGAAACCUCCGCAAUGCGGGCAACCGCGACGGGGGGACCCCCAGUGCCGUGGCAUCGCCACGGCUUUUCCGGAGUGUAAAAAGCUCCGGGAAUAAGGGCUGGGCAAGGCCGGUGGCAGCCGCCGCGGUAAUACCGGCGGCCCGAGUGGUGGCCGCUAUUAUUGGGCCUAAAGCGUCCGUAGCCGGGCCCGUAAGUCCCUGGCGAAAUCCCACGGCUCAACCGUGGGGCUUGCUGGGGAUACUGCGGGCCUUGGGACCGGGAGAGGCCGGGGGUACCCCUGGGGUAGGGGUGAAAUCCUGUAAUCCCAGGGGGACCGCCAGUGGCGAAGGCGCCCGGCUGGAACGGGUCCGACGGUGAGGGACGAAGGCCAGGGGAGCGAACCGGAUUAGAUACCCGGGUAGUCCUGGCUGUAAAGGAUGCGGGCUAGGUGUCGGGCGAGCUUCGAGCUCGCCCGGUGCCGAAGGGAAGCCGUUAAGCCCGCCGCCUGGGGAGUACGGCCGCAAGGCUGAAACUUAAAGGAAUUGGCGGGGGAGAUACAAGGGUGGA